AUUCUGGUGUCCUAGGCGUAGAGGAACCACACCAAUCCAUCCCGAAUUUGGUGGUUAAACUCUACUGCGGUGACGAUACUGUAGGGGAGGUCCUGCGGCAAAAUAGCUCGAUGCCAGAAUGAUAAAAAGUUUAACACCUC
rnacentral:rRNA from 2 species